rnacentral:sRNA from 1 species
GGGAGUGGUUUGAUGUGAAGGUUUUUUUUUCCUUCAGGCAUUGAAAAGAAAAAAGAUGAAAUAUAUGUUUAUAUAUAACUCUCUACAUACCUCACUGAAGUCAAAAUGCAUUUAAUUGUGUACGUAUCUUUUAAAUGAGGAACGGUACUGGAUUUUUUUCUUCUUUCUUAAAAAAAGUGACAGAAAUCCUAGUGACUUUGGGGGGGAGAGAUAUGAAUAGAUACGAUGAUUGAGUUUUUUUUCAAAGGAGUCCAUGUUUGAUUCUCUCCUUCACCCAGCAUUCUCAGUGGUUUGUAAUUGUCAGUUUUAUCUCUACUUUUUCCCUUCCUCUCCUGCAGUUGCUUGCUUGUAAAAUCAUCUGACUUGAGAAAUUAAUUUGGUGGUGAAUAGGACAGAUUUUUAGAAGAAAGAGGAGAGGGUCAGAUCUGAAGAUUGUGAAAUUCUUUUCUCCUGUUGCAGCGAACACCUCUUCCUCCAUGACCUUCGACACUGAUAAAAGUGGAAGAAACUGAGGCACGGGGAGAGAAAGGCAGCUGAGAAGAGAGGAAUGAGAAAUGCUCACCCUCCCCUAGUCAACCCCGUGAUGUUACCUGGAUGACAGCACACACUCCUUGGUCUCUUCACUGAAACCUAUGUCACGGAAAGACAUGGCCACACCUGGGGGAGUGACCUGCCGUGAGGAUGUAGGUGGACGUCAUGAAUGACAUACAAGCUGUACUUACCGGCAUGUGGAGCAGGUCCUAGGAAUUGAACCCUGGUCUUCUGCGAGAGCAACAAGUGCCCUGAACUCGGAACCAUCUCUUCAUCCUAAUAAUGUUCGUUCCUGAAAUAAACAUUCAUUUGUUAAAA